GCCGGAGUGGCGGAACUGGCAGACGCGCUGUCUUGAGGGGGCAGUGCCCGUGAGGGCGUGCGGGUUCGACUCUCGCCUCCGGCACCA
rnacentral:tRNA from 1 species